rnacentral:tRNA from 1 species
CGCGGGGUAGUGUAGUGGUAACAUACCGGUCUCGUCUUCCGGAGCCCUGGGUUCAAUUCCCAGCCCCGCACCCA